AGAAUGUGGAGAAGACUACAAUUUGUGAGCUUAAAUUCAAUGAAGCAAAUGUUAAGCACUUUAAGGAAGCUAUUGACGAUAACUAUUGGUUUGAGUUUUUCAUGGAUGAUCUUCCAUUAUGGGGAUUUGUUGGUGAGCUACAUUCUGAUAAGAACAGUGAUAACAAGCAUAUGAUAUUCAUACAUAAGAAUAUCACUCUACAAUACAACAAAGACCAGGUCUCCAAUUUUAAUCAUAUAUGAACUUUUACAGUAUAAAAGGUUCUCAUAGUCACACCGUUUUUAUAUUUUUACAUCAUGAUUUCUUGUUAUUGCAGAUCAUU